AGUCGGACGGUUCUAGGGUUAGAGGCUGGAGGCUAGGAUACAAGCUUGCAGCCUCUAAUCUUAGGACAGUGGCGAACGGGUGAGUAACGCGUGAGUAACAUACCCCCAAGACGGGGAUAACAUUCCGAAAGGGAUGCUAAUACCCGAUGUGGUUAUAAGGCUGAGAUGCCUUAUAACUAAAGGGAAGCGGAAGCGACCGCUUGGGGAUGGGCUUGCGUCCCAUCAGCUAGUUGGUAAGGUAAUGGCCUACCAAGGCUAAGACGGUAGCUGGCCUGAGAGGGUGGUCAGCCACACUGGGACUGAGACACGGCCCAGACUCCUACGGGAGGCAGCAUG
rnacentral:rRNA from 1 species